rnacentral:rRNA from 1 species
GACGAACGCUGGCGGCGUGCCUAAUACAUGCAAGUCGAGCGAGUCUGCCUUGAAGAUCGGAGUGCUUGCACUCUGUGAAACAAGAUACAGGCUAGCGGCGGACGGGUUAGUGACACGUGGGUAACCUGCCCAAGAGAUCGGGAUAACACCUGGAAACAGAUGCUAAUACCGGAUAACAACAGAUGAUGCCUAUCAACUGUUUAAAAGAUGGUUCUGCUAUCACUCUUGGAUGGACCUGCGGUGCAUUAGCUAGUUGGUAGGGUAACGGCCUACCAAGGCGAGGAUGCAUAGCCGAGUUGAGAGACUGAUCGGCCACAUUGGGACUGAGACACGGCCCAAACUCCUACGGGAGGCAGCAGUAGGGAAUCUUCCACAAUGGACGCAAGUCUGAUGGAGCAACGCCGCGUGAGUGAAGAAGGGUUUCGGCUCGUAAAGCUCUGUUGUUGGUGAAGAAGGACAGGGGUAGUAACUGACCUUUGUUUGACGGUAAUCAAUUAGAAAGUCACGGCUAACUACGUG